rnacentral:rRNA from 1 species
AACGAACGCUGGCGGCAGGCUUAACACAUGCAAGUCGAACGCUCGUAGCGAUACGAGAGUGGCAGACGGGUGAGUAACACGUGGGAACAUACCCUUUGGUUCGGAACAACGCGUGGAAACGCGCGCUAAUACCGGAUAAGCCUCUGGAGUGAUCCGGGGGGAAAGAUUGAUUGCCGAAGGAUUGGCCCGCGUCCGAUUAGCUUGUUGGUGAGGUAACGGCUCACCAAGGCAUCGANCGGUAGCUGGUCUGAGAGGAUGGCCAGCCACAUUGGGACUGAGACACGGCCCAAACUCCUACGGGAGGCAGCAGUGGGGAAUAUUGGACAAUGGGCGCAAGCCUGAUCCAGCCAUGCCGCGUGAGUGAUGACGGCCUUAGGGUUGUAAAGCUCUUUCGCACGCGACGAUAAUGACGGUAGCGUGAGAAGAAGCCCCGGCUAACUUCGUGCCAGCAGCCGCCGUAAC